rnacentral:rRNA from 1 species
GAUGAACGCUGGCUACAGGCUUAACACAUGCAAGUCGAGGGGAAACGACGGGGAAGCUUGCUUCCCCGGGCGUCGACCGGCGCACGGGUGAGUAACGCGUAUCCAACCUGCCUCUGACUGAGGGAUAACCCGUCGAAAGUCGGCCUAAUACCUCAUGGCAUCGUCUGCGGGCAUCCAACGACGAUUAAAGAUUUCAUCGGUCAGAGAUGGGGAUGCGUCUGAUUAGCUUGUUGGCGGGGUAACGGCCCACCAAGGCGACGAUCAGUAGGGGUUCUGAGAGGAAGGUCCCCCACAUUGGAACUGAGACACGGUCCAAACUCCUACGGGAGGCAGCAGUGAGGAAUAUGGGUCAAUGGGCGAGAGCCUGAACCAGCCAAGUAGCGUGCAGGAUGACGGCCCUAUGGGUUGUAAACUGCUUUUAUGCGGGGAUAAAGUGAGUGACGUGUCCUUCAUUGCAGGUACCGCAUGAAUAAGGACCGGCUAAUUCCGUG